UUCACUUAUAUUAUUUUUGGUUGUCCUGGUGAAGACACGCAUGUGUAGUUGUGCACCAAAGAAACAAGCUCCUCAAAAUCAAUCAUACACUGGUUCAUGUAUUAGUGAGAAGGAUUUGCAUGACUUGUGUAUCAUGCGCCUGCUACUACUUUCAAGCAAAUAGACUGAAAGUGGGACCCAUUGCAUGCUUGGAGAAAUUGAUCGAUCAGCUAACCUGGCCGGUUUAACAGCACGUAAGUUUUGAACCAUAUCCACACCCCAUAGUCCAUCAAUGCUGGGCGGAUAAGUCAAGCGUUUUGAAGAGUUAGAUGGAUAAGCAUACCGGCAGUUCGUAUGCUAAACGGCAGGAGUCCCGAUCGAUCUUUUAGGACGGGAGUUUGUUAGCUAACAACAAGAGCGGCGAGACCAAGGAUAAGGAGGGCUCGGGCCGGCUGCUCUCUUUUGGGGGGAGCAGGGCGGAGGAGCACCGCGGCGCCCUACACGAAGAGCCUACACGCAUCGCAGCUGGCUAAUCACAGCGCGUGCCCAAGGCGGCGGCGGCGGCAAGCUGCGGACGAAGAGAAAAGGAUAACUCCCAGAGCAGAACACAACACGAAGUACACGCAGAAGCAAAAGAAGUCCUUGAAGUGCUGCUGGUCUUGGGUCUUGCAUAUGCAUCAACGAGGAUGCCGUCUUCUCCUCCACCAUUCAUGGGUAUACGUAUACUUUUGUUUCUAUUGUUUUUUUCCUCGAUCCAGAUGCAGAUGCAGAGAUGAGGGCAGUAUGAGAAGAGAGCAGCGGGAGGAAGAUAGCUGGAGAGAGGCAGGCAAUCGGAGGAGCAGCACUAUGUCAAGAUAAAGAAGAGGAUCAGAAGAUAGAGGAGGAAGAAGCCAGGCGGCCACCUCCGGAAGAUGACUCAGAGGAGGAUAUUCAAGACAAGAUCGCGUCAGGCGACUGCUCCUGCAGGGAUUGCAGCAGAAGGAAGAUCCUUGAGAGAAGAUCAGCCGGAAGGUGCAGGUUGGCCGCCAAAGGGAUUAUCAAGCUGAUCGAUGCAGAGUGUUGCAGUUGUGUCAUCGAGUAGUCUUCAGUAUACUUGAUUACGAAGAAGAGUUAGAAGAUGGCAUACAAGGCUCCUGUACAGCGCCAGCAAGGAGAUCAUGCUCUUCAAUUUCCAGCGGUGCCUUCGUUUCAAGAGCAGAUCGUCGGGACGGCCUAACGGUCGAUCUCGCAUCUUCAACAAGAGAUAAGAGAUAGUUUUGGCGCCGUGUCGCUGCCACGGAUGGACCAUCGUACUCGUGUGCUUCUACAAAAUUCGUGAUGCUCGCGGCUCUACCUGGCACCGUGUCGUCGUCGCGGGCGGUUAUAAAAAAAAAGAUGUUUUAUGGCAUCCGUGGCUCUACCUGGUGCCGUGUCGCAGCCACGGAUGGAUCACCAUUGCCGUCUAUAAAUUUGUGAGGUCUGCGGCUUUACCCGGCGCCGUGUCGUCGUCGCGGACGGUUAAUAAAAAAAGAGAAAAAUAUACUAUGGCAUCCGUGGCUCUACCCGGCACCGCGUCGUCGCCACGGAUGGACCACCAUUGCCAUCUACAAAUUUGUGAGGUCCGCGGCUCUACCCGGCGCCGUUUUGUCGUCACAGACGGUUAAUAAAAAAAAAGAAAGAAAGAAAGAAAGAAAGAGAUACUAUGGCAUCCGUGGCUCUAUCCGGCGCCGUGUCGUCGCCACUGAUGGACCACACUGUUGUCAUAUGUUUCUACAAUCUUUGUGAUGUCCGCGGCUCAUCAUGAGUCGUGCGGACGGUCACUCUUCAUUUGUGAAGAAGAGGCAACAACUGCUAGGCAUCUCGUGUCUCCACCUGAAGAUCUUCAUUUCGUUCCCAAGGAUCGUCGAUUGGAAAGGGCAAAGCUCCAAGGUCACAUGUGCUCUAUGAAACAUGUGUACAUCAUGGCCGAUGGAUGGCAUACAUACACAUAAGAGAUUACUGCAAGAAGCCCUGCUUCAUAGGCCGAUCACAAGAACCAGAAAAUAGAGAUUAAUUCAUUGUUUGAAGCAUCAUUGUCUAGUCUUGUGUGCCUUCCGUGGCCACCAUCACCCUUCACAUGCUGAAUGUUGAAUAGAUGAAGCAAGAAAAGAUUAGUUGUGCAUUGUCAUACUGUUAGAUCAAGAUGAACUCCAAAGAGAAGUCAAGAGAUAUGUUGCUAGUCUGGUACAACCGAAUAUCUUCAUUGAUAUCCUGAUGGUCACGGUCGCUAAGAGCGCAGAUGAGACCAGAGGUUCAGAUUCUCAUAUCCGACCGACGAGGUUGGGUUUCAUGAUUUAAAUGUCAUCUGAUAUUAAUUCUCAUACGGCUAUACAUGAGACAAAAUCAUUGUAACACCCAUUUGUAUGUAAACAAUCAUAUAGUGGAUUUGGUCUCCGGGCCACCGUGGUUUUUUCCCGAUUUAGGGUUUCCACGUUAAAACAGGUGUCCCUUAUGUUUGUGUUACUUGAUUGGCUGCAUAACCUUGCGAUGAUCUGAGCUCAAAAUUUUAUAAAGAUGACCAUUGACACUUUGGUGUAGCUUAAUCAGAGGUGUUCUGCGAUUAUAUAUACUGCAGAUGUAAUUAACUGAAAUUCUUUCGAGAUUUCAGGAAUCAAGAAUCCUUGCAAUCGUCGAAGUCAGAUGAUUAUCCAGGCCGCACUUCAGAAAAUACAUGUGAAAAGGAAAUUUGUAAAUUGUCAAGAAUCGACAAAAUACAAGUUUUCCUAUUCCCAUUUGUUUAUAUCAGUUCAAUUUGUAUACUAUAGUAUACUGGCACGCCCGCACCCAAAACGCCAUAGCAGAUAAAUUUAAAUAUUUAUCUUGCAAAAACACCUACCUUAUGCAGAAUUCUCAUACAAGAACAGUUUCCAAGCCAGCAUUGGAAUGUCACCAUUUGAAGCACUAUACGGCAAGAAAUGCAGAACACCAUUGCUAUGGGAUGGAGUAGGGGACAGCAGCUUGUUCAGUCCUGACCUAGUAAAGGAUGCCGAGGAAAAGGUUAGACUGAUUCGGGACAGACUAAAGGUAGCUCAGUCAAGACAAAAGAGCUAUUCAGAUUCCAAACGUAGGGAAGUUACCUACGAGGCUGAGGAUAGAGCGUAUCUCAGAGUCUCACCGAUACGCGGAGUUAAGAGAUUUGGAAUAAAAGGGAAACUGGCACCCCGCUUCAUUGGACCUUUCAAAAUCUUGUCUCGCCAAGGAGAAGUAGCCUACAAGUUGGAGUUGCCGGAAGCCUUGGAAAGCGUGCACAACGUGUUCCAUGUUUCGCAACUAAAGAAAUGCCACCCUGAGAUGGCCGACACACCGUUGAGGGAUACGAUUCCGCUGGAAGAAGUGUAGAUUAAGAGUGACGUCACCUACGAGGAGAAACCUAUCAGAAUCCUGGAUACAGCAGAGAGGCACACCCGUUCCAAGACUAUCAAAUUCUGCCAGGUUCAGUGAGAUCACCACACCGAAGAGGAAGCUACCUGGGAACGUGAGGAAGAUCUCCGAGAAGACCACCCGCACCUCUUUACUAGCCAACCAGAAUCUCGAGGACGAGAUUCAUCUUAAGGGGGUUAGGUCUGUAACAUCCCAAAUUUUACAAACCUUUCAUCAUGCAUUUGCAUUCAUAAGCAUCAUGCCACCUAUGCAUUUUUGAAUCCCUUUUCAAAGCCUUCCUUAUUUCAAAUCUGAUUUUCACCUUCCUUUAGCAAACUGGAUUUUCAACCCAAUAGCGUUUUGAUCAUAAAAGGGGUUUAUUGCAUAAAUGAGCUACCCCAUAAUUUUUGGCAUUUAAGUUGGAGUUGAAAAACUAUUUUACUUUAUUUAUUAUAAAGCCCUAAAGGCAAGUAUACAAGCAAAAUUAUUUUUAAAUAUUUUAUUUUGGAAUAAAUCAAGUCCCAGAGGUUAAAGCAUUUGAGGAUUUGAUUUUACAAAUUUUUUGGAGUUUAUUUGGAUUGAUUUGGAGUUCCAAAUCAAAAGUUUUAAAAGAAAACAGAAGAAAAAGAAAAAGGAAAAAAAGAGAGAAGGAAACGGACCGGCCCGGCCAAAUGGGCCGAACCAGCCCGACUUACCUGCGUGCCAGCCCGCGCGUGCCCGAGCUGCCACUGACAGGUGGGACCCACCUGUUAGGGCUUUCGUUCCUGAAGGAAAGCCGCGCUAGUCACGCGCGCGACACCCGCGCGCCCUCCCCGGCAACUGACCUCACCGCGCCAUCGCCUCCGUGCCUCCCUCCACUUUCCUUGGGCGUUCCUAUAAAGCCAGCAGCCUCCUCUGCAUUUUUCCCUUUCCGAUUUCGCUCAUUCCGUGCCCACGCUGCCCUAAUUCAUCGCUGGAGCAAGCUCGCCGCCGCCCGUUUUUGGUCGCCGACAACGACACGGUGAGGCAUCUCCCUUAAGCCGAGCCACCUUCUUUCCUCUCUCUCUUGCGCAUCUUUUGAGACGGCCGCGAUUAGAUUUUGUUUUUUAAAUCGAACCGGUACGCAGAUCUGACUGUCGGAUCUCACUUAAGUUAGAUCCGACGGCCUGUGCUUUAUUUUGACCCCGAACCGGUACCGACCAAUCACAGCAUGCCACGUGUCCCUUGUUUAGGAUUAAACUUAAUUCCUCGGCCAAAUGAAUUUGUAACUUUGCAGAAAACCCCAUGGAACUUCAAAUGCUCAUAUAUUUUAAUUCAUUUGGCAAAAUUUAGUGUUCUACACCUUUUUGGAAAUCUCUCGGCCUGUAGAAUCUUUUGGAAUAGUUUAAUUGUAAAUUUGUGUAUUCUACACCCAGUCAAAUUACAGAAAGGUUUUUAAUGCCAUUUAAUUCAUAUAUUUUGUUUUACAAAUCCUUUUUGCAUGCAACCGACUCUAAAAAUUGUGUUUUGAUGCACUCUGUCCAGUAGGACCAGAGGAUUUUAAAUUAUUUUACUGUUGUUUUCGUAUAAAAACCUUGCUCUAUGCUUUUAAAACCCUCAUUUUAGAAUUUUGCCUUUAACUAGUGUAAUAAAUUUUUAUUGCUAAAUCUUUUUGGACCAGAGUUUUAUAACCUGUGAGUUAUGCAAAACUGAAAUCCCUUUUGUUAACUAAAAACCUAUCAACUCAUGUCACGUGCUUGCAUUGCAUCAUGGCAUAUUUUCUACUUGUGUAUGGUUUGUUUAUGUAUGUUUUAUUACUUCGUUUAGUUUUCUCGGAGAGCGAACCAUGUCACUGUGAAGAGUGCUUUAACGCUGACAACUACCAAGGCAAGUUCACUUUGAUCAUAAAUUUCUCAUUACAUUACUUACUUUAAAUACUUAUGCACUAGUGUUGUGUAGUUUGCAUUGAUAGGGUUAUUAUUCUUAUCUAUGCUAGCUAUAUUUUUGUCCUAGUAGAGUAGGAUACCUCUGCCGUUACCCUUCCACCAAUUGCCAUCGUUUGUAGUUGAGUGCUAUGCUAUGUUAGUAUAAGUGGGAUGGAAACUCAAUUACCAUGAAACUGAUAUUGUGGAGUAUUUUGGAAAUCUGGUAAAAACAACUUUAAUGAAUCAUCCUGGGUGGGCUGCUUUGAGUAUUUGAGAUGUAUGCGGCGGCAAGUCCAUUUUUAUGGGUCCAUUUCUACGAGUCGUCUCUCCAUAUCUAUGGGAGCGCCCACGUCGCAAAUGUGGGAUGCCACCCAAGGUAACCAGAGACUGGACUAGUUUCCAGUUUAGUAGAUUCUAGUAUAACCACAUGCUAAAUGGGUUCUGGCUUGAUGUAGUAGGUCAUAUGAUCCUGGGCCCGAGGUGAUCGUGAUGAUGUAGCCGUGUAGGUGGGAGCGGGUCCCUCGGUAUGGGUCUAGGUGAUUACUUCUGAAAAUUCUCGUAAUCGAUGCCGUUGCUACUCUACCCUGAGGAUAGCAAGGGAUUAACCCAUCGGUUUCUUGUGGGUAAAGUGUACAACCUCUCGAGAGUGUCAAACUAAGUACUUAGCCGUGUCCCCGGUUACGGACAAUUAUUGAGCAACUAGAUUUGGGGCUGUAAGAAAGGUCUCAAUCAUUCUAAUUUCUAAAUAAAAUGAAUGGUUCAAACUUGGGUUUGGAGCAUUGAUGUGUCUACUCAAUGUCCAUAGUUUAAUAGGAGCAUCGGUGUGUCUACCCGGUGUCCAAUAGUUUAAUAUUAUUGUAUCAUUCAAUUGUAGUAGGGUAAAUUUAUGUUCUGCUUUCACGCAAAAAGCCUGAACUCCACCUUGCCAUAUACUGCAUGUACAUUGUUAGGUCUGUUAAAAUUACCAGGUGAACUUGCCAAGACGUUCAAUGUAUUGACCACGUAGUGGCUGCAAUUAAAUAAUGCAAGUGGAUCAGACGACGAGUGAGGUUCGUCGUUGUUUUAGGAUUACGAGUUUACAUUUCAACAUGCUCUCGCUGUGGUGUUGAUGUGGCUCUCGUUCUUCCAUUUGCUUUCCGCUGCCAGACUUUAAAGUUAUUUGUUUUGAGCUAACCUGAGGGGUUAUGCAAGCUGUAAGUACUAUGAGUUCUGAAUAUGACGAUAUAAUAAAUUUGCUUGACCUUUGUAUCUCGUAUUUCAUCAUGAAACUAUGUGUGCUGGUGCGUCGAUCUAAGAACUAGCACUGUAAUCACAGAAAUCGAACACUAGCCGGGGGCGGUCGCUUUAUGCAAUGCUCCAUCGAUCAAGCUCUUCCGCUUGAUUUUGCAACAAAAUUAGCUAUGUGCAUCGAUCGAUUGUUGUCUCCUCUUGUUGAUUGCCCCAAGCCCACGAAACAUUCAGUCCACGGUGCGUUGGUCUUCGAGAGAUUGAUCCUUCCACCCAUCCAUAUAUUGCCCCAAGCCCACGAAACACGUGUCUUCUGUUGAAUGUUGGCUACAAAUGGGUACUACACUUUCAGAGGACGACUUGGGCUUUGGAGACUAGAGGGUGUCCUGGUUUCUUCGGAGUUUUGCCCGAGCAUCAUGAUGGCGCCGUGUUGUUAUAUUAUUAUCAUAGGAUUUUUCUGUUGUGUUUUCAAACUCUGUUAGUGGAGUUCUUUAUUACUCUCUCCAUUCUAAAUCAUGGGGCGUUUAACUUUUGGUUACAGUCAAAAUUUCUAAACUUUGACCAACUAUAACAAAGAUUAUCAACAUCUAUGGUACCAAAUUUGACAGUGAAUAUGAUCAUACUUUUUACUGUAUAUAAACUUGGUCAAAUUUUAGAGAAAAUUUGACUGUCAACAAAAGUUAUAUGACUUACAAAGGUGGGUGUAUUUAUGCAAGGGCUUAGGCCCAGGUUCUUUGUACUCUUUAAAGUAGUGUAAGAGCAUCUCUAGUAAGUUUCCUACGACUAAUUUUAGAGAUAGGAGAAAGAAUUAAAAAAUUUACGCUCUCCUCCAAGAGGUUCCCAAAAGAAACAUUGAUAACCAAAUGUUGAACUCCAGUUUCACUAAAAGUUCCAAAAUCCCAUCAAUGUUUCACUACGGUUUCACUCUUGUUCUUUUCUUCUUUUUUUUUACCAAGACGGUUUCACUCUUGUUUCGCAACUACUGCAAAAAAAGACUGAAGCAUCGACGAAAUUUUAAAAUUUUAAUUGAAGCCCUGGUUUCACCAAAAGUUCAAUAAUUGAGGGAGGGGCCGCGGCACGUACUUCUCCAUAAGACCAGUCGAAGAGAUAUUUUUGCCGCGGCACUAGUGAGCAGUAGUAGCCUUCGGUCCAGCUUUCGUUUCGCAUAGCCUCGCCGGCUCUGACGAGUCACGAUCUCUGACAAGACACAACAAUUACCCAUAUCAACAACAAAUAUUCCAUCUAUACCCGCAAAAGGAGAUUCUCGACAUAAAUUAUAAAGCUGUACUUUGUUGAUGUUACUGAUGCUGGCUGGUGAAGAAAGUUUCUCCAUGCUGCUGCUAUGAUAUGCACUGUAUCGCUACAGCUGAAAGCCAUUC
rnacentral:lncRNA from 1 species